GGUUUGAUCAUGGCUCAGAACGAACGCUGGCGGCAGGCCUAACACAUGCAAGUCGAACGCUCCAGCAAUGGAGAGUGGCAGACGGGUGAGUAACGCGUGGGAACCUUCCCUAUGGUUCGGAAUAGCCCGGGGAAACCUGGGGUAAUACCGGAUAAGCCCUUCGGGGGAAAGAUUUAUCGCCAUUGGAUGGGCCCGCGUCGGAUUAGCUAGUUGGUGGGGUAACGGCCUACCAAGGCGACGAUCCGUAGCUGGUCUGAGAGGAUGAUCAGCCACACUGGGACUGAGACACGGCCCAGACUCCUACGGGAGGCAGCAGUGGGGAAUAUUGGACAAUGGGCGCAAGCCUGAUCCAGCCAUGCCGCGUGGGUGAUGAAGGCCUUCGGGUCGUAAAACCCUUUUCUAGGGGAUGAGGAAGGACAGUACCCUAGGAAUAAGCCUCGGCUAACUACGUGCCAGCAGCCGCGGUAAGACGUAGGAGGCGAGCGUUAUCCGGAUUCAUUGGGCGUAAAGGGCAAGUAGGCGGUGAAGCAAGUUGUGCGUGACAGGACCCGGCUUAACUGGGUGAGGUCGUACAAAACUGCUUGACUAGAGGGCAGGAGAGGGAAGCGGAACUCCUAAUGUAGCGGUGGAAUGCUCAGAUAUUAGGAAGAACACCAGUGGCGAAAGCGGCUUUCUGGCCUGUACCUGACGCUGAGAGGCGAAAGCUAGGGGAGCGAACGGGCUUAGAUACCCCGGUAGUCCUAGCUGUAAACGGUGGAUACUAGGUAUUGGGGGGUAGACCUUCAGUGCCAAAGCCAACGCGUUAAGUAUCCCGCCUGGGGACUACGGCCGCAAGGUUAAAACUCAAAUGAAUUGACGG
rnacentral:rRNA from 1 species